rnacentral:tmRNA from 1 species
GGGGAUGUAAAGGUUUCGACGGGGAUUACAAGCCUUAGUAAGCGAGCAGUGGAGCGGCGCCACUUCUAAAAGUCGCAGUUUAUAAAUUAAACGACACAAAUGAUUUAGAAGUAAUACCUUUUCCACAACAAACGAAAUAUUUAUAUUCAGCUGUUGCAUAAUAAGUAAAAGUGUUAUUACCGUUUCUUUUAAGACUACCGCGGCUUAUUAGAUGCGUCAUUUAGCGGUGCACGUGAACGAGGAAGUUGCCUUACAACCUUGUCAUGAUUUUAAAGGCUGAUUGAAAAUUAGGUUUGUUAUUAUGCCUUUUUUCAAAAAUUUUAAAUAAUAACUAUGCUCGUAGAAAGCUUUGGUGAAUAAUUUUCGGACGGGGGUUCAACUCCCCCCAUCUCCACCA